rnacentral:rRNA from 1 species
AGUGAACGCUGGCGGUAGGCCUAACACAUGCAAGUCGAACGGCAGCACAGUAAGAGCUUGCUCUUACGGGUGGCGAGUGGCGGACGGGUGAGGAAUACAUCGGAAUCUGCCUUUUCGUGGGGGAUAACGUAGGGAAACUUACGCUAAUACCGCAUACGACCUACGGGUGAAAGCAGGGGAUCUUCGGACCUUGCGCGAUUGAAUGAGCCGAUGUCGGAUUAGCUAGUUGGCGGGGUAAAGGCCCACCAAGGCGACGAUCCGUAGCUGGUCUGAGAGGAUGAUCAGCCACACUGGAACUGAGACACGGUCCAGACUCCUACGGGAGGCAGCAGUGGGGAAUAUUGGACAAUGGGCGCAAGCCUGAUCCAGCCAUACCGCGUGGGUGAAGAAGGCCUUCGGGUUGUAAAGCCCUUUUGUUGGGAAAGAAAAGCAGCAGGUUAAUACCCCGCUGCUCUGACGGUACCCAAAGAAUAAGCACCGGCUAACUUCGUG